UACGUAGGGUGCAAGCGUUGUUCGGAAUUAUUGGGCGUAAAGCGCGUGUAGGCGGCUUUGCAAGUCGGGUGUGAAAGCCCUCAGCUUAACUGAGGAAGUGCGCCCGAAACUGCAGAGCUUGAGUACCGGAGAGGAUGGUGGAAUUCCCGAAGUAGAGGUGAAAUUCGUAGAUAUCGGGAGGAACACCGGUGGCGAAGGCGACCAUCUGGACGGAUACUGACGCUGAGGAGCGAAAGCGUGGGGAGCGAACAGG
rnacentral:rRNA from 1 species